rnacentral:rRNA from 1 species
CUUUUACAAUGAAGAGUUUGAUCCUGGCUCAGGAUGAACGCUAGCUACAGGCUUAACACAUGCAAGUCGAGGGGCAUCAGGAAGAAAGCUUGCUUUCUUUGCUGGCGACCGGCGCACGGGUGAGUAACACGUAUCCAACCUGCCCUUUACUCGGGGAUAGCCUUUCGAAAGAAAGAUUAAUACCCGAUGGCAUAAUGAUUCCGCAUGGUUUCAUUAUUAAAGGAUUCCGGUAAAGGAUGGGGAUGCGUUCCAUUAGGUUGUUGGUGAGGUAACGGCUCACCAAGCCUUCGAUGGAUAGGGGUUCUGAGAGGAAGGUCCCCCACAUUGGAACUGAGACACGGUCCAAACUCCUACGGGAGGCAGCAGUGAGGAAUAUUGGUCAAUGGGCGCUAGCCUGAACCAGCCAAGUAGCGUGAAGGAUGAAGGCUCUAUGGGUCGUAAACUUCUUUUAUAUAAGAAUAAAGUGCAGUAUGUAUACUGUUUUGUAUGUAUUAUAUGAAUAAGGAUCGGCUAACUCCGUGCCAGCAGCCGCGGUAAUACGGAGGAUCCGAGCGUUAUCCGGAUUUAUUGGGUUUAAAGGGAGCGUAGGUGGACUGGUAAGUCAGUUGUGAAAGUUUGCGGCUCAACCGUAAAAUUGCAGUUGAUACUGUCAGUCUUGAGUACAGUAGAGGUGGGCGGAAUUCGUGGUGUAGCGGUGAAAUGCUUAGAUAUCACGAAGAACUCCGAUUGCGAAGGCAGCUCACUGGACUGCAACUGACACUGAUGCUCGAAAGUGUGGGUAUCAAACAGGAUUAGAUACCCUGGUAGUCCACACAGUAAACGAUGAAUACUCGCUGUUUGCGAUAUACAGUAAGCGGCCAAGCGAAAGCAUUAAGUAUUCCACCUGGGGAGUACGCCGGCAACGGUGAAACUCAAAGGAAUUGACGGGGGCCCGCACAAGCGGAGGAACAUGUGGUUUAAUUCGAUGAUACGCGAGGAACCUUACCCGGGCUUAAAUUGCAGUGGAAUGAUGUGGAAACAUGUCAGUGAGCAAUCACCGCUGUGAAGGUGCUGCAUGGUUGUCGUCAGCUCGUGCCGUGAGGUGUCGGCUUAAGUGCCAUAACGAGCGCAACCCUUAUCUUUAGUUACUAACAGGUUAUGCUGAGGACUCUAGAGAGACUGCCGUCGUAAGAUGUGAGGAAGGUGGGGAUGACGUCAAAUCAGCACGGCCCUUACGUCCGGGGCUACACACGUGUUACAAUGGGGGGUACAGAAGGCAGCUAGCGGGUGACCGUAUGCUAAUCCCAAAAGCCUCUCUCAGUUCGGAUCGAAGUCUGCAACCCGACUUCGUGAAGCUGGAUUCGCUAGUAAUCGCGCAUCAGCCACGGCGCGGUGAAUACGUUCCCGGGCCUUGUACACACCGCCCGUCAAGCCAUGGGAGCCGGGGGUACCUGAAGUACGUAACCGCAAGGAUCGUCCUAGGGUAAAACUGGUGACUGGGGCUAAGUCGUAACAAGGUAGCCGUACCGGAAGGUGCGGCUGGAACACCUCCUUUCU